ACCGGUAAGCGUUGAAAAGCUUUCGGAUGAACUGAGGGUAGGGGUGAAAGGCUAAUCAAACUUGGAGAUAGCUCGUACUCCCCGAAAUGCAUUUAGGUGCAGCCUGUGGAGUUUCUUACGUGAGGUAGAGCGACUGAUUGGAUGCGAGGCUUUCACCGGCUAUCAAGUCCAGACAAACUCCGAAUGCACGAUAAGUAAGAUCCACGGAGUGAGGGCAUGGGUGCUAAGGUCCAUGUCCGAGAGGAGAAGAAUCCAGACCAUCGGCUAAGGUCCCGAAAUAAUAGCUAAGUUGACCAAACGAAGUCAGAGUGCGAAGACAGCUAGGAUGUUGGCUUGGAAGCAGCCAUUCAUUUAAAGAGUGCGUAACAGCUCACUAGUCGAGUGCUUUGGCGUGGAUAAUAAUCGGGCAUAAGCUAUUUACCGAAGCUGUGGGAUGUGUAAACAUCGGUAGGGGAGCAUUCUAUCGGCGUAGAAGGUAAGAGGACAACUCUUGUUGGAGCUUAUAGAAAAGCAAAUGUAGGUAUAAGUAACGAUAAAGGAGGUGAGAAACCUCCUCGCCGAAAGACUAAGGUUUCCUGAUCAACGCUAAUCGGAUCAGGGUUAGUCGGGGCCUAAGGGGCAGCCGAACGGCGCACCCGAUGGAAGAACCGGUUAAUAUUCCGGUACUAAUUAUGUGAGCGAUGUGGAGACGGAGAUGUGACGGUCCUGCCAACUGACGGAAUAGUUGGUUAAAGGGUGUAGGAGUUGAUCUGAGUAGGCAAAUCCGCUCGGAGAUCUGAACCUGACAGUACUCAGAGUGCUUGCACGAAGAGAUAUGGACAAAGUAACGGUGCUCCCAAGAAAAUCCGCUAAGCAUAUUGCAUGAUUACCCGUACCAUAAACCGACACAGGUGGUUGGGUUGAGUAUACUAAGGCGCUCGAGUGAUUCGCGGUUAAGGAACUAGGCAAAAUAGUCCUGUAACUUCGGAAUAAAGGACGCUCACCUAACCGGUGAGCCGCAGAGAAUAGGCCCAGGCGACUGUUUAACAAAAACACAUGGCUAUGCUAAAUCGAAAGAUACUGUAUAUAGCCUGACACCUGCCCGGUGCUGGAAGGUUAAGAGGAGAUGUCAUCGCAAGAGAAGCAUUGAAUUGAAGCCCCAGUAAACGGCGGCCGUAACUAUAACGGUCCUAAGGUAGCGAAAUUCCUUGUCGGGUAAGUUCCGACCUGCACGAAUGGUGUAACGAUCUGGGCACUGUCUCAACCGCGAGCUCGGUGAAAUUGUAGUAUCGGUGAAGAUGCCGAUUACCCGCAACGGGACGAAAAGACCCCGUGAACCUUUACUAUAGCUUU
rnacentral:rRNA from 1 species